AUGGCGGCGGCGGCGGCGUCUCUGGUGAUCCGUCUCUCGGCGCUCGCCGUCGUGCUCGUCGUCCUCUGCCCGACGGCGUCCGCGGUGCCGCUGGGGAAGCGGUACAGGGUCGGCGGCCCUGAAGGGUGGCGCGUGCCCCCGCCGCAGGACAAGGAGAUGUUCUACGUCAAGUGGGCGGCCCCCAUAACCUUCUUCGUCGAGGACUCUAUCGAGUUCGUGUACAAGAACGACUCGGUGAUCAAGGUGAGCAAGGCCGGAUACUAUCACUGCAACGAGACGGCGGGCAUCGGCACCGGCGCCGUGCCGAGGGACGGCAGCACGCUCUUCCUCCUCGACGCGCCAGGCUUCGCCUACUUCGCCAGCGCCGACCUCGGACACUGCAACGCCGGCGAGAGGCUGGUAAUUAACGUCCGCGCUGCCUCCCCGCCGGCGCCGGCAUCAGCAUCAUCGCCGGCACAGGCCCCCACGGCACCGUCGUCUUCACGACCGCCGUCGUCAUCGCCGUUCUCUCCGGCGCCAGGUCCGGCCCCGUCGAUGGAGUAUUCAUCCGCCGCGGGUGGGCCAUUCGUGGCGUCCCUCGCUCGCGCCAUGGCACAAGCUGUGACAUUGGUCCUGGCCUGCUUUAUCUGA
rnacentral:rRNA from 1 species